CGGCCCCUACGGGGGGCAGCAGUGGGGAAUAUUGGACAAUGGGGGGAACCCUGAUCCAGCGACGCCGCGUGAGUGAAGAAGUAUUUCGGUAUGUAAAGCUCUAUCAGCAGGGAAGAAAGAAAUGACGGUACCUGAAGAAGAAGCCCCGGCUAACUACGUGCCAGCAGCCGCGGUAAUACGUAGGGGGCAAGCGUUAUCCGGAUUUACUGGGUGUAAAGGGGGCGCAGACG
rnacentral:rRNA from 1 species